rnacentral:rRNA from 1 species
AUUGAACGCUGGCGGCGUGCUUAACACAUGCAAGUCGAGCGGCAGCGCGGGAGCAAUCCUGGCGGCGAGCGGCGAACGGGUGAGUAAUGCUUCGGAAUCUGCCCUUCAGUGGGGAAUAACCAGUCGAAAGACUGGCUAAUACCGCAUACGAACUGAGGUUGAAAGCAGGGGAUCGCAAGACCUUGCGCUGAUGGAUGAGCCGAAGUCGGAUUAGCUUGUUGGUGGGGUAAUGGCCUACCAAGGCGACGAUCCGUAGCUGGUCUGAGAGGACGACCAGCCACACUGGGACUGAGACACGGCCCAGACUCCUACGGGAGGCAGCAGUGGGGAAUAUUGGACAAUGGGGGGCAACCCUGAUCCAGCGACGCCGCGUGUGUGAAGAAGGCCUGCGGGUUGUAAAGCACUUUUAGUGGGGAGGAAGGUCUGCGACCUAACACGUCGUGGAAUUGACUUAACCCACAGAAAAAGCACCGGCUAACUCUGUGCCAGC